rnacentral:rRNA from 1 species
GCGUACUGCCAAACCAACCUGGCUAUGCCCGAUCUCGUCUGCUCUCGGAAGCUAGGCAGGUUUGGGCCUGGUUAGUACUUGGAUCGGAGACCGCCUGGGAAUACCAGGUGCUGUAAGCU